AUUGAACGCUGGCGGCAUGCCUUACACAUGCAAGUCGAACGGUAACGCGGGGCAACCUGGCGACGAGUGGCGAACGGGUGAGUAAUACAUCGGAACGUGCCCAGUAGUGGGGGAUAGCCCGGCGAAAGCCGGAUUAAUACCGCAUACGACCUACGGGUGAAAGCGGGGGAUCGCAAGACCUCGCGCUAUUGGAGCGGCCGAUGUCAGAUUAGCUAGUUGGUGGGGUAAAGGCCUACCAAGGUGACGAUCUGUAGCUGGUCUGAGAGGACGACCAGCCACACUGGGACUGAGACACGGCCCAGACUCCUACGGGAGGCAGCAGUGGGGAAUUUUGGACAAUGGGGGCAACCCUGAUCCAGCCAUGCCGCGUGCGGGAAGAAGGCCUUCGGGUUGUAAACCGCUUUUGUCGGGGAAGAAACGGUCUGCGCUAAUACCGCGGGCUAAUGACGGUACCCGAAGAAUAAGCACCGGCUAACUACGUGCCAGCAGCCGCCGUAAAAC
rnacentral:rRNA from 1 species